rnacentral:tRNA from 1 species
GGUCGAGAUAGUUGCUGGCGACGGCCGGGGUCUCCAGAGCCGCGGCGACGCCUGGCAAUUCGUCGUCAUCGGGUACCAACCCGGUUCCGAUCACCA